rnacentral:rRNA from 2 species
AUUGGUGCUUGCAUCAUGAUUUACAUUUGAGUGAGUGGCGAACUGGUGAGUAACACGUGGGAAACCUGCCCAGAAGCGGGGGAUAACACCUGGAAACAGAUGCUAAUACCGCAUAACAACUUGGACCGCAUGGUCCGAGUUUGAAAGAUGGCUUCGGCUAUCACUUUUGGAUGGUCCCGCGGCGUAUUAGCUAGAUGGUGGGGUAACGGCUCACCAUGGCAAUGAUACGUAGCCGACCUGAGAGGGUAAUCGGCCACAUUGGGACUGAGACACGGCCCAAACUCCUACGGGAGGCAGCAGUAGGGAAUCUUCCACAAUGGACGAAAGUCUGAUGGAGCAACGCCGCGUGAGUGAAGAAGGGUUUCGGCUCGUAAAACUCUGUUGUUAAAGAAGAACAUAUCUGAGAGUAACUGUUCAGGUAUUGACGGUAUUUAACCAGAAAGCCACGGCUAACUACGUGCCAGCAGCCGCGGUAAUACGUAGGUGGCAAGCGUUGUCCGGAUUUAUUGGGCGUAAAGCGAGCGCAGGCGGUUUUUUAAGUCUGAUGUGAAAGCCUUCGGCUCAACCGAAGAAGUGCAUCGGAAACUGGGAAACUUGAGUGCAGAAGAGGACAGUGGAACUCCAUGUGUAGCGGUGAAAUGCGUAGAUAUAUGGAAGAACACCAGUGGCGAAGGCGGCUGUCUGGUCUGUAACUGACGCUGAGGCUCGAAAGUAUGGGUAGCAAACAGGAUUAGAUACCCUGGUAGUCCAUACCGUAAACGAUGAAUGCUAAGUGUUGGAGGGUUUCCGCCCUUCAGUGCUGCAGCUAACGCAUUAAGCAUUCCGCCUGGGGAGUACGGCCGCAAGGCUGAAACUCAAAGGAAUUGACGGGGGCCCGCACAAGCGGUGGAGCAUGUGGUUUAAUUCGAAGCUACGCGAAGAACCUUACCAGGUCUUGACAUACUAUGCAAAUCUAAGAGAUUAGACGUUCCCUUCGGGGACAUGGAUACAGGUGGUGCAUGGUUGUCGUCAGCUCGUGUCGUGAGAUGUUGGGUUAAGUCCCGCAACGAGCGCAACCCUUAUUAUCAGUUGCCAGCAUUAAGUUGGGCACUCUGGUGAGACUGCCGGUGACAAACCGGAGGAAGGUGGGGAUGACGUCAAAUCAUCAUGCCCCUUAUGACCUGGGCUACACACGUGCUACAAUGGAUGGUACAACGAGUUGCGAACUCGCGAGAGUAAGCUAAUCUCUUAAAGCCAUUCUCAGUUCGGAUUGUAGGCUGCAACUCGCCUACAUGAAGUCGGAAUCGCUAGUAAUCGCGGAUCAGCAUGCCGCGGUGAAUACGUUCCCGGGCCUUGUACACACCGCCCGUCACACCAUGAG